rnacentral:lncRNA from 1 species
UUUUUUUUUUUUUUUUUUUUUGCUGUGUUUUGGAGGCUUUUCUAUGUUGCCUGGGUGGGUACACAGAUGGUAUGUUUAGCCAAAGCAUGAGGGGUAAUUUGGAAAUAAAUGGAAGUUUGAGUCUGUGGACACAUCUGAUGCAUUUGUGUGCUCUGUGUAUAUGUCUGGGUCCGUGUGACAGACAACCAAAGCUUGUAUGCCUUGGGGUCCUUAGGCCUCUGGGUUGGAACAUGGCUGACACUCACCUGGCAGUCUUUGACCUUCUUGGGAGUAGGUAGGCCAGAGGAGUAGUGAUCGUGACCGGUAAUGAGAACACAGUGUCCCAAGUAAUGGCAAAAGAAGCUUUAACCCCGGGAGGAGAUGGACGGGGUCAGACCCAGCCCGCUUCAGGCUUUUUGAAGCCCACAGGCCUUUUCAGGGCCGGCCUGGAUCCCUAGGGAGACAAGCCCUCAUCUCCAAAUUUGAAAAUGUCUGCCUACCUCCACGUCUACCCCUAAUUGGUGCCAAUUCUGUCCACUUGGCCAUUUAAGCAAAACAAAUCUCCACGUAGCUUGGAGUCGACCCUUAUCAGGAGCCGGUCAGGGUGUGAACGGGCUGUGCUGUUGGGCAGCUGGCCAGCCAGGUUAACAGCCUCAGACUGGGGCUGGUGGUGUGUCCUUGUGCUGGCAAAUGCUAGUGUGGUAUGCUCAGGACCUCACAGACUGAGUUUCCACCGUGACAAGGGAUGAAACCAGCACCCAGUCUCUCUUCCCUCUCCCCGCUCUUCCCUGCUACUUUUCUACUUCUAUUACAGCUCUCAUGCCCCAGGCAGCCAGGAAGUCUCCCCUCCCUUCCCCCUCUUUCUGGUGGGGCUCAGGACCUCUCAGAGAUGGGAGAGUUUAAACACGUGUUCUCUCCCUCUCUGCACCCCACCCACCUUUGGCUUGCAGACUGCUGCAAGCUGUUUUCCUCCCCAGAAGAACACUGCAGCAGAAAGCAGUAAACACUCCGGAGUCUCCCAAACACUCGCUCAGUUGGCUAGAGUGCCGCCACCGGUAGACGGGUAGAUGCUGCUCAGGUGAGUUCAGCUUCAUGGGUAGUGUAGGUGCCACUCAGGGAACAGGAAGGUCUUUGGGUCUGGGCGCUGGACGAAUGAAUGUUCUUUGGGACUUAUUUAUCUGCUUCUUGCCAUGUCACAGUGCUGUGUGGGGGUCUGGUAGAACUUCCAUAGGAAUCCCAUGGAGGUAGUAGAAGUGGGAUAGAAAAGGUUUUUUCCUGCGCUGGUGAGUCACAAGGAUUUCAUGAGUGAAAUAUCCUUCCCUUUACUUCACAGUGGUCCCCAUAACAUUACUGUCGUAACAUUGGGUCCCAAGUAUGAACCACAGUACUGUGCAAAUGGUGGCAGGGAGGAGGAGACACAGUUUAAAAACUAUGCCGAGCCUGGAGAGAUGGCUCUGCAGUUAAAGGCUGGACUCACAACCAAAAUGACAAAGCCUCAAUGUCCACUGAUCUACCAACCCUUCUUUUGAAGUGCCUUCCAUUGCCCUGGGCUUCCGGGAUCUGAUUUGGAAGAGUGGGGAGUUGUCAUCCCCAGUGAAAGCUCUGCUUUCAGCCCCCCACCCCCCUCAGACUUUCUGGAACUUUCUGCUAGCCCCUAUCUUCUUAGGUAAAAAUGCAUCUCUGUCUCCUCCAUGUCAUCUGGCUUUUUAUUCUUCCCUGGGGACAGGAGGUGGUAUGGGAACCCUUGCCCCAGGCCUCCUCUGUGGUAUUGGAUAUCAUUAGGUACAUUGUCACAUCAGCUUAAUAUUUAGUCCCUAGGUUCCGCAUCGAUGCCUCUCGGUUGAUUCACACAAGGCUCAGUGUAGCAGUCUGCUUCAAACAUUAAAACUAUGGUCCUAGGGAUGGGGAAGGAGGGACAGGGGCAGGGCCACCUCAGAGUCCAGCUUAGGGGUGUCCUGGCCAGUCACCCAAGUGUGUGUUCCUUCCUGCUUUGAUCCAGUUUUGAGAUGUCUGUUGUAAGUCUAGCUGGUGCCGGGGUUGGGAAGGGGAAGGCUACGGAUUAAGAGCCAGCGAGGCAGACUAGUAUCCAGCAAUUUUGUACACUCUAAGCAGCAACAUUGGGUUUCUUUUUAAAGCAAUCUGGAUUUUGGCCACCUCCCAGGAAAUCCGGAUGUGUGUGGCGAGAUGUGGCUCACGCCUGUUUGGUCUAGUAGUCCGGCUUCUUUGCCAGAAACUCUCUGUGAAGUUCCCAGCAGCUGGGCCGCAGAGGUACAUGAAAGGCCUAUCCAAAUUCCAGGCAAAUGAAAGAAUCUGUGUCAUCACUGAUACACUCCUGAUGACAGCAGCUACCUGGGUGCCUGGUCGCUCUCUGCUGCUGUUCUGUGUGCGUCUUUCCUUUGCAUUUUGCUGUUACUGCGCCUAGGAAUUUUCUUGGCUCCUAUGACGCAGCUGACCAUGGCAGUGGAUGUUCCUGAAUUUCUUCCCAUUAUUACUGUGUCGGAUUGGAAUGCAAAUCUUAAAAAAGAAAUUUUAUCAUGGUUUUCCACUACUAUAAAAGUAGUAACAAGCCAGGCAUGGUGACUCAUGUCUAUACUUCUGCUGCUCAGGAGGCUGAGACAGGAGGUUUGCCAUGACUUCUAGGCCAGCCUGGCCUACAGUGUCUGACUGCCAUCCUUCAAAAAGGAAAAAAACGGGCUUUGGGAUAUGGCUCAGUUGGUAGAGUGAGUGCCUAGCAUGCACAAGGCUCUGGGUUCAAACCUCAGCCCGUCACAUACCUGUCUUGAUGAUGUAUCCCUGCAAUGUCAGCAUUUGGGAGGUAGAGGCAGGAGAAUCAGAAGUUCAAAGUUC